rnacentral:SRP_RNA from 1 species
AUACCAGACACUACAGCAUCUUCUAUCACAAUAAGGAGAAUCCUUGAGACCAGGAGGGCUGUAGUGUGCUAUAAUAAUCAGAUGUCUGCACUAAGUUCAGCAUCAAUAUGGUGACUUCCUGAGGUCAGAGGAUAACCAGGUUACCUUGGUAGGGGUGAACAGGCCCAGGUUGGUAGGAAAGUAGGUCAAAACUUCCAUGCUGAUCAGUAGUGUGACCGUGCCUGUAAAUAGCCAUUGCACUCAGCUUGGGUAACAUAGCAAGACCCAUUUCUU